AAUCCAGACUCCUACGGGAGGCAGCAGUGGGGAAUAUUGGGCAAUGGGCGCAAGCCUGACCCAGCAACGCCGCGUGAAGGAAGAAGGCUUUCGGGUUGUAAACUUCUUUUAAGAGGGAAGAGCAGAAGACGGUACCUCUUGAAUAAGCCACGGCUAACUACGUGCCAGCAGCCGCGGUAAUACGUAGGGGGCAAGCGUUAUCCGGAUUUACUGGGUGUAAAGGGGGCGCAGACGGCGAUGCAAGCCAGGAGUGAAAGCCCGGGGCCCAACCCCGGGACUGCUCUGGAAACUGCGGCGCUGGAGUACGGGAGGGGCAGGCGGAAUUCCUGGUGUAGCGGUGAAAUGCGUAGAUAUCAGGAGGAACACCGGUGGCGAAGGCGGCCUGCUGGACUGCGACUGACGUUGAGGCCCGAAAGCGUGGGGAGCAAACAGGAUUAGAUACCCGGGUACC
rnacentral:rRNA from 1 species